rnacentral:rRNA from 1 species
CCUACGGGGGGCAGCAGUGAGGAAUAUUGGUCAAUGGCCGGAAGGCUGAACCAGCCAUGCCGCGUGAAGGUCAGUGCCCUAUGGGCGUUAAACUUCUUUUGUGCGGGAGCAAUAAUGGUCACGUGUGGCCAGACGAGAGUACCGUACGAAUAAGCAUCGGCUAACUCCGUGCCAGCAGCCGCGGUAAUACGGGGGAUGCAAGCGUUAUCCGGAUUUAUUGGGUUUAAAGGGUGCGUAGGCUGUGAGGUAAGUCAGCGGUGAAAUGCCCCCGCUCAACGGGGUGAAGUGCAAUUGAUACUGCCUUGCUGGAAUGCGGAUGCCGUGGGAGGAAUGUGUGGUGUAGCGGUGAAAUGCAUAGAUAUCACACAGAACACCGAUUGCGAAAGCAGCUCACGAAUCCGCGAUUGACGCUGAUGCACGAAAACGUGGGUAUCAAACAGGAUUAGAUACCCGAGUAGUC